rnacentral:rRNA from 1 species
GAUGAACGCUGGCGGCGUGCUUAACACAUGCAAGUCGAGCGAGAAGUUUUGAAAAGAUUCUUCGGAUGAAAUUUAAAAUGGAAAGCGGCGGACGGGUGAGUAACGCGUAGGCAACCUGCCCCAUACAAAGGGAUAGCAUUUGGAAACGAAUAUUAAUACCUUAUGAAACUUAACUAGUGCAUGCUAGGUAGGUCAAAGAUUUAUCGGUAUGGGAUGGGCCUGCGUCUGAUUAGCUAGUUGGUGAGGUAACGGCUCACCAAGGCGACGAUCAGUAACCGACCUGGGAGGGUGAACGGCCACAUUGGAACUGAGACACGGUCCAAACUCCUACGGGAGACAGCAGUGGGGAAUAUUGCACAAUGGGGGAAACCCUGAUGCAGCAACGCCGCGUGAACGAUGAAGGCCUUUGGGUCGUAAAGUUCUGUUCUAGGUGAUGAAAACUGACAGUAACCGAGGAGAAAGCCCCGGCUAACUCCGUG